rnacentral:rRNA from 1 species
AGUGAACGCUGGCGGUAGGCCUAACACAUGCAAGUCGAACGGCAGCACAGUAAGAGCUUGCUCUUACGGGUGGCGAGUGGCGGACGGGUGAGGAAUACAUCGGAAUCUACUUUUUCGUGGGGGAUAACGUAGGGAAACUUACGCUAAUACCGCAUACGACCUACGGGUGAAAGCAGGGGAUCUUCGGACCUUGCGCGAUUGAAUGAGCCGAUGUCGGAUUAGCUAGUUGGCGGGGUAAAGGCCCACUAAGGCGACGAUCCGUAGCUGGUCUGAGAGGAUGAUCAGCCACACUGGAACUGAGACACGGUCCAGACUCCUACGGGAGGCAGCAGUGGGGAAUAUUGGGCAAUGGGCGCAAGCCUGAUCCAGCCAUACCGCGUGGGUGAAGAAGGCCUUCGGGUUGUAAAGCCCUUUUGUUGGGAAAGAAAAGCAGCAGGUUAAUACCCCGCUGUUCUGACGGUACCCAAAGAAUAAGCACCGGCUAACUUCGUG